rnacentral:rRNA from 1 species
UACAGAGGUCCCAAGCGUUGUUCGGAUUCACUGGGCGUAAAGGGUGCGUAGGCGGGCAGGUAAGUCAGUGGUGAAAUCUUCAAGCUUAACUUGGAAACUGCCAUUGAUACUAUCUGUCUUGAAUGUUCUGGAGGUUAGCGGAAUAUGUCAUGUAGCGGUGAAAUGCUUAGAUAUGACAUAGAACACCUAUUGCGAAGGCAGCUAACUACGGAAAUAUUGACGCUGAGGCACGAAAGCGUGGGGAUCAAACAGG